rnacentral:rRNA from 1 species
ACGAGACCCCUGCCUGCUAAAUAGUUGGGCGAAUGAAUGUUCAUUGGCUACGGCUUCUUAGAGGGACGUGCGUUCUAUUAGACGCAGGAAGAUAGGGGCAAUAACAGGUCUGUGGUGCCCUUAGAUGUCCUGGGCCGCACGCGCGUUACACUGAUGCACUCAACGAGUAUACCUUGGCCGAGAGGCCUGGGAAAUCUUGUUAAUUUGCAUCGUGAUAGGGAUAGAUUAUUGCAAUUAUUAAUCUUGAACGAGGAAUUCCUAGUAAACGCAGAUCAUCAAUCUGCAUUGAUUACGUCCAUGCCCUUUGUACACACCGCCCGUCGCACCUACCGAUUGAAUGGUCCGGUGAAGCCUCGGGAUUGCGAUGAGUUUCCUUCAUUGGGAGUUUGUCGCGAGAACCUGUCUAAACC